AGCCUGCUUAUGUACUCAUUCUCCCGGUCCAC
rnacentral:piRNA from 1 species